GCAGUACUCCCUCCGUUCGGAAUUACUUGUCACAAAAAUGGAUGUAUCUACAACUAAAAUACAUCUAGAUACAUUCAUUUCUUGGACAAGUAAUUCCGAACGGAGGGAGUAUGUA
rnacentral:pre_miRNA from 1 species